UUAAUUUGAGAGUUUGAUCCUGGCUCAGGACGAACGCUGGCGGCGUGCCUAAUACAUGCAAGUCGAACGAACUCUGGUAUUGAUUGGUGCUUGCAUCAUGAUUUACAUUUGAGUGAGUGGCGAACUGGUGAGUAACACGUGGGAAACCUGCCCAGAAGCGGGGGAUAACACCUGGAAACAGAUGCUAAUACCGCAUAACAACUUGGACCGCAUGGUCUGAGUUUGAAAGAUGGCUUCGGCUAUCACUUUUGGAUGGUCCCGCGGCGUAUUAGCUAGAUGGUGAGGUAACGGCUCACCAUGGCAAUGAUACGUAGCCGACCUGAGAGGGUAAUCGGCCACAUUGGGACUGAGACACGGCCCAAACUCCUACGGGAGGCAGCAGUAGGGAAUCUUCCACAAUGGACGAAAGUCUGAUGGAGCAACGCCGCGUGAGUGAAGAAGGGUUUCGGCUCGUAAAACUCUGUUGUUAAAGAAGAACAUAUCUGAGAGUAACUGUUCAGGUAUUGACGGUAUUUAACCAGAAAGCCACGGCUAACUACGUGCCAGCAGCCGCGGUAAUACGUAGGUGGCAAGCGUUGUCCGGAUUUAUUGGGCGUAAAGCGAGCGUAGGCGGUUUUUUAAGUCUGAUGUGAAAGCCUUCGGCUCAACCGAAGAAGUGCAUCGGAAACUGGGAAACUUGAGUGCAGAAGAGGACAGUGGAACUCCAUGUGUAGCGGUGAAAUGCGUAGAUAUAUGGAAGAACACCAGUGGCGAAGGCGGCUGUCUGGUCUGUAACUGACGCUGAGGCUCGAAAGUAUGGGUAGCAAACAGGAUUAGAUACCCUGGUAGUCCAUACCGUAAACGAUGAAUGCUAAGUGUUGGAGGGUUUCCGCCCUUCAGUGCUGCAGCUAACGCAUUAAGCAUUCCGCCUGGGGAGUACGGCCGCAAGGCUGAAACUCAAAGGAAUUGACGGGGGCCCGCACAAGCGGUGGAGCAUGUGGUUUAAUUCGAAGCUACGCGAAGAACCUUACCAGGUCUUGACAUACUAUGCAAAUCUAAGAGAUUAGACGUUCCCUUCGGGGACAUGGAUACAGGUGGUGCAUGGUUGUCGUCAGCUCGUGUCGUGAGAUGUUGGGUUAAGUCCCGCAACGAGCGCAACCCUUAUUAUCAGUUGCCAGCAUUAAGUUGGGCACUCUGGUGAGACUGCCGGUGACAAACCGGAGGAAGGUGGGGAUGACGUCAAAUCAUCAUGCCCCUUAUGACCUGGGCUACACACGUGCUACAAUGGAUGGUACAACGAGUUGCGAACUCGCGAGAGUAAGCUAAUCUCUUAAAGCCAUUCUCAGUUCGGAUUGUAGGCUGCAACUCGCCUACAUGAAGUCGGAAUCGCUAGUAAUCGCGGAUCAGCAUGCCGCGGUGAAUACGUUCCCGGGCCUUGUACACACCGCCCGUCACACCAUGAGAGUUUGUAACACCCAAAGUCGGUGGGGUAACCUUUUAGGAACCAGCCGCCUAAGGUGGGACAGAUGAUUAGGGUGAAGUCGUAACAAGGUAGCCGUAGGAGAACCUGCGGCUGGAUCACCUCCUUUCUAAGGAA
rnacentral:rRNA from 1 species